UACAGAGACUGCAAGCGUUGCUCGGAAUCACUGGGCGUAAAGGGCGCGUAGGCGGCCAUUCAAGUCGGGGGUGAAAGCCUGUGGCUCAACCACAGAAUUGCCUUCGAUACUGUUUGGCUUGAGUUUGGUAGAGGUUGGUGGAACUGCGAGUGUAGAGGUGAAAUUCGUAGAUAUUCGCAAGAACACCAGUGGCGAAGGCGGCUCACUGGCCCGGUACUGACGCUGAGGUGCGAAAGCGUGGGGAGCAAACAGG
rnacentral:rRNA from 1 species